ACUAGCUGUUUGCGAUACACUGUAAGCGGCACAGCGAAAGCGUUAAGUGAUCCACCUGGGGAGUACGCCGGCAACGGUGAAACUCAAAGGAAUUGACGGGGGCCCGCACAAGCGGAGGAACAUGUGGUUUAAUUCGAUGAUACGCGAGGAACCUUACCCGGGUUUGAACGCAUUUCGACAGCUCUGGAAACAGAGUCUCUAGCAAUAGCGAUUUGCGAGGUGCUGCAUGGUUGUCGUCAGCUCGUGCCGUGAGGUGUCGGCUUAAGUGCCAUAACGAGCGCAACCCUUGCCACUAGUUACUAACAGGUAAAGCUGAGGACUCUGGUGGGACUGCCAGCGUAAGCUGCGAGGAAGGCGGGGAUGACGUCAAAUCAGCACGGCCCUUACAUCCGGGGCGACACACGUGUUACAAUGGCGUGGACAAAGGGAGGCCACCUGGCGACAGGGAGCGAAUCCCCAAACCACGUCUCAGUUCGGAUCGGAGUCUGCAACCCGACUCCGUGAAGCUGGAUUCGCUAGUAAUCGCGCAUCAGCCAUGGCGCGGUGAAUACGUUCCCGGGCCUUGUACACACCGCCCGUCAAGCCAUGGGAGCCGGGGGUACCUGAAGUCCGUAACCGCGAGGAUCGGCCUAGGGUAAAACUGGUGACUGGGGCUAAGUCGUAACAAGGUAGCCGUACCGGAAGGUGCGGCUG
rnacentral:rRNA from 1 species